rnacentral:rRNA from 1 species
UACGUAGGGUGCGAGCGUUAAUCGGAAUUACUGGGCGUAAAGCGUGCGCAGGCGGUCGUUUAAGCCAGAUGUGAAAUCCCCGGGCUUAACCUGGGAACUGCAUUUGGGACUGGACGGCUAGAGUUUGGCAGAGGGAGGUGGAAUUCCACGUGUAGCAGUGAAAUGCGUAGAUAUGUGGAGGAACACCGAUGGCGAAGGCAGCCUCCUGGGCCAUGACUGACGCUCAUGCACGAAAGCGUGGGGAGCAAACAGG